ensembl:lncRNA
CGAUGGAGGAGCUCCUGGAACAGCUCAUUCAUGAAUCCUUGGAAUACGGAGGGUGAUUUGGCCAGCCCAUACGGCAUAACAAGAUAUUAAUAGUGGCCUGCGGGAGUAAUGAAUGCUGUCUUCAACUCAUCCCCCCUCCGUAUCCAGAUGAGGUUGUAGACACUACGCAGGUCCAGUUUGGAGAAGAAGUGAGCGCCCUGCAGCUGUUCCAGUGCAGAUGGGACCAGGGAAAGUGGAUAACGGUACUUUUCACAGCUUGGGAAAGGGCUCUGUAAUCGAUACACCUCGGCUUGUCCAAAUACCUCCUUGAUAUGGUUUAUGAAAGCAUCCAGAAAUUGUGUGACCAUGGCAUCGGAUUCCCACAGCAUUGUCGCCCACUGCAGAGCCCUACCGGACAAGAGAGAUAUAAUAUAGGCAAUUUUAGAUCAUUCAGAUGGGAACUGGUGAGGCUGCAUCUAAAAAUACAGCGAGCAUUACAAGAUUAACCCACUGCAAUCCUCCGCCAUGCCAGAGAACGUUGCUGGUUGGGCCAUAGGAUGCAACGAUGAAGCCGAUGAGGAAGUAGCGGGUUGCAGCAAUUGAUGAAGAAGAAGAGAAGACUCACAGAACCAUUCAAGAUGUUCAUUGACAACUGGAAACUGCUGAGUAACUUAAAUUGGAAACAGUUAGUGUGCUUAUCUCUUGCAUGUUGGUGCUGGAAGCGGUCAAUAGAGAAAGAAGACAGAUGUGAUGAUAUUCCACAAAGGAUAACAGAAAAUGCAGAAUUAUCAACACUUGAGAGCAAUAUCUGUGUAGUUCCAGCUCCAGCUCCUCUCCCUACAUCCAGUCUUUCUCACUGCACUCUAAUUCAUCAGAAUUGUCUCUGGAACUCAGCCAAGUCCUUCGGGUAAUCCUCUCUGCAAGCUUUACUACACAUCAUUUUUUAUCUGUAUUUUAGUUUUUCAGUAGAAGUGCAGGGAAAGAUCGAAAAAUAAUGUGUGGAAAAUUGCUAUACACGGGGGAAGGAGUGCUGAGAUUGCAGUUGACGUUAAUGUUUCCAAUAGGCUCUGGGACGUAUGACCAUUAUUAAGGGUAAUAAAUGAUGUAGUUUUUGGUGGAUUGCAGCUUUAUUUCAGCGAAAUUGGCUUGAAGCUUGAAAAACAGAACUGCCAAAAAAUGUGUGUUUGGCAUAAUGGACUUAUCCCUGAUGGGGCUUUAAUGUUUCUGUAUUUUAUUUAUUGAGAAAUUCAAAGGCAAAUCUUCAUUAUACUCUCAGCACUUAUCAAGUAUGCUACAUUGCUGAUUGAUGAACACUUGCCUAAAUAUGCCCCCAUCAAAUUGAAAAAGGUUAGAGAAAAACGUACUGUGCCAUGGUACAACAGUAAUACCCACGCUCUCAAGAAAGAAACUCGUAGUCUUGAGCACAAAUGGAGAAAAACGAACUUGGAAGUUUUUAGAAUCGCGUGGAAAAACAGUAUGUCCAGCUAUAGACAGGCUCUAAAAACUGCCAGGGCCGAGCAUAUCCACAAACUCAUAGAAAACAACCAAAACAAUCCAAGGUCUUUAUUUAGCACAGUGGCUAGAUUAACAAAUAACCAGCCACCACCCGAUCUAAAUAUUCCCUCACAGUUUAAUAGUAAUGACUUUAUGAAUUUCUUCACUGAUAAAAUAGAGAACAUCAGAAAUACAAUAACAAAUGUAGAUUCUACAGCGUCUAAUACUUUAGUUUUAUCCAUCGCACCCAAAGAUAAACUGCAGUGCUUUACAGGAAGAGCUAAAUAAACUUAUCACUGCAUCUAAACCAACAACAUGUUUAUUAGAUCCUGUACCCACUAAAUUACUGAAAGAGUUGUUACCUGUAGCAGAAAAACCGCUUCUCAAUAUUAUUAACUUGUCGUUAUCUUUAGGUCACGUCCCAAAACCAUUCAAGCUGGCGGUUAUUAAGCCUCUUAUUAAGAAACCACAACUAGAUCCUAGUGAACUGGCAAAUUACAGACCCAUUUCAAAUCUUCCAUUUAUGUCUUAAAAUUUUUGAAAAAGUUGUGUCUGCUAAAUUGUGCUCCUACCUGCCAAAAAAUGUCUCUAUGAAGAAUUUCAGUCAGGUUUCAGGCCCCAUCAUAGCACAGAAACUGCACUUGUUAAAAUUACAAAUGACUUGCUUCUUGCAUCAGACCAAGGCUGCAUCUCAUUGCUAGUUUUACUUGAUCUUAGUGCUGCGUUCGACACCAUAGAUCACGACAUACUCAUAGAUAGAUUACAAAACUAUACAGGUAUCCAAGGGCAGGCUUUAAGAUGGUUUAGAUCAUACCUGUCCGAUCGCUACCACUUUGUUUAUCUAAAUGGGGAGUCAUCUCAUUUAUCACCAGUAAAAUAUGGAGUGCCACAAGGAUCUGUCCUAGGUCCUCUGCUAUUUUCAAUAUACAUGUUGCCCCUUGGUAAUAUCAUUAGAAAAUACGGGAUUAGUUUCCACUGUUAUGCUGAUGAUACUCAACUGAGUUUAUAUCUCAACAAGACCAGGUGAAAUGUCAAAAUUAUCUAAGCUAACAGAGUGUGUUAAAAAUGUAAAAGAUUGGAUGACCAAUAAUUUUCUCCUAUUAAAUUAAGACAGAGAUAUUACUUAUUGGACCAAAAAACAUUACACAGAAUCUCGUAGAUUACAAUUUGCAACUAGACGGAUGUACUGUUACUUCCUCUACUGUCAAAAAUCUGGGUGUUAUAUUAGACAGCAACUUGUCUUUUGAAAAUCAUAUUUCCCAUGUUACAAAAACAGCAUUCUUCCAUCUUAGAAACAUUGCCAAGCUACGAAACAUGUUACCUGUUUCUGAUGCAGAAAAGCUAGUUCAUGCGUUCAUGACCUCUAGACUGGACUAUUGUAAUGCACUGCUAGGUGGUUGUCCUGCAUCCUCAAUAAACAAGCUACAGGUAGUCCAAAA